rnacentral:rRNA from 1 species
CCUACGGGUGGCAGCAGUGAGGAAUAUUGGUCAAUGGCCGCGAGCCUGAACCAGCCAAGUCGCGUGAAGGACGACUGUCCCACGCGUUGUAAACUUCUUUUAUCAAGGAAUAAAGUCAGGCUCGAGUGCCUGUCCGAGGGUACUUUAUGAAAAAGGAUCGGCUAACUCCGUGCCAGCAGCCGCGGUAAUACGGAGGAUCCGAGCGUUAUCCGGAUUGAUUGGGGUUAAAGGGCGCGUAGGUGGGUUGUUAAGUCAGGUGUGAAAGUUUGGGGCUCAACCGUAAAAGUGCAAUUGAUACUGGCAGACUUGAGUACAGUUGAGGUAGGCGGAAUGCGUGGUGUAGCGGUGAAAUGCUUAGAUAUCACGAAGAACUCCGAUUGCGAAGGCAGCCUACUAAACUGCCACUGACAUUGAUGCUCGAAAGUGUGGGUAUCAAACAGGAUUAGAUACCCGGGUAGUC